rnacentral:rRNA from 1 species
GGGUUGUGAGGUUAAGCGACUAAGCGUACACGGUGGAUGCCCUGGCAGUCAGAGGCGAUGAAGGACGUGCUAAUCUGCGAUAAGCGUCGGUAAGGUGAUAUGAACCGUUAUAACCGGCGAUUUCCGAAUGGGGAAACCCAGUGUGAUCCGUCACACUAUCAUUACGUGAAUACAUAGCGUAAUGAAGCGAACCGGGGGAACUGAAACAUCUAAGUACCCCGAGGAAAAGAAAUCAACCGAGAUUCCCCCAGUAGCGGCGAGCGAACGGGGAGCAGCCCAGAGUCUGAAUCAGCUUGUGUGUUAGUGGAACGGUCUGGAAAGUCCGACGGUACAGGGUGAUAGUCCCGUACACCAAAAUGCACAGGUUGUGAACUCGAAGAGUAGGGCGGGACACGUGGUAUCCUGUCUGAAUAUGGGGGGACCAUCCUCCAAGGCUAAAUACUCCUGACUGACCGAUAGUGAACCAGUACCGUGAGGGAAAGGCGAAAAGAACCCCGGCGAGGGGAGUGAAAAAGAACCUGAAACCGUGUACGUACAAGCAGUGGGAGCCUCUUUAUGGGGUGACUGCGUACCUUUUGUAUAAUGGGUCAGCGACUUAUAUUCUGUAGCAAGGUUAACCGUAUAGGGGAGCCGAAGGGAAACCGAGUCUUAACUGGGCGUUAAGUUGCAGGGUAUAGACCCGAAACCCGGUGAUCUAGCCAUGGGCAGGUUGAAGGUUGGGUAACACUAACUGGAGGACCGAACCGACUAAUGUUGAAAAAUUAGCGGAUGACUUGUGGCUGGGGGUGAAAGGCCAAUCAAACCGGGAGAUAGCUGGUUCUCCCCGAAAGCUAUUUAGGUAGCGCCUCGUGAAUUCAUCUUCGGGGGUAGAGCACUGUUUCGGCUAGGGGGUC